rnacentral:rRNA from 1 species
CAGUCGCCGCGGUAAUACGUAGGUGGCAAGCGUUGUCCGGAAUUAUUGGGCGUAAAGGGCUCGCAGGCGGUUUCUUAAGUCUGAAGUUAAAGGCAUUGGCUCAACCAAUGUAUGCUUCGGAAACUGUUAGACUUGAGUGCAGAAGGGGAGAGUGGAAUUCCAUGUGUAGCGGUGAAAUGCGUAGAUAUAUGGAGGAACACCGGUGGCGAAAGCGGCUCUCUGGUCUGUCACUGACGCUGAGGCUCGAAAGCGUGGGUAGCGAACAGGAUUAGAUACCCGCGUAGUCCCUGUCUCUUAUACA